rnacentral:rRNA from 1 species
UACGAAGGGGGCUAGCGUUGCUCGGAAUCACUGGGCGUAAAGGGCGCGUAGGCGGCCGAUCAAGUCGGAGGUGAAAGCCCAGGGCUCAACCCUGGAAUGGCCCUUCGAUACUGGUUGGCUCGAGACCGGAAGAGGUAAGUGGAACGUGCGAGUGUAGAGGUGAAAUUCGUAGAUAUUCGCAAGAACACCAGUGGCGAAGGCGGCUUACUGGUCCGGUUCUGACGCUGAGGCGCGAAAAGCGUGGGGAGCAAACAGG